AGUGUGAUACAGAAAAAUGAUUGCUUUAUUUCAGGCAUUUGAGUACUGACCUUGUUUUUUGCUGUUUCUUGAUAUGUCCUUUAAGGUGUUGGUGCAGGUUGUUUUGGAAUGUGGGCCUUGGCUGGACUUCCCAGCAACUUGCUAAAGUUGUCUCAACUCUGUCAGAAUAACAUCUGACACAAAGGACUUACUACGUGUGUCUAAGGCUGUUCAUAUAUAAAGUCACUGAAUCUUCAUAAGAAUCAUUUGAAAGAACUCAACCUAGCUCAUAUAAAUAGUAAGUGGCCAAAUUAG
rnacentral:lncRNA from 1 species